rnacentral:rRNA from 1 species
GAGUUCGGACCAGCGGUGGAGCAUGUGGUUUAAUUCGAUAAUACGCGAGAAACCUUACCAGUUCUUGAAAUUUUUCAUUUUUUACAUACUUUUAAAAAAAGUAAGAAAAAACAGGUGUUGCAUGGCUGUCGUCAGCUCGUGUCGUGAGAUGUUUUGGUUAAUUCCUUAUUUAGUAACGAGCGAAACCCUUAUUUUUAUUCAUUUUUUAAAAAGAAUUUUUAAAAUAAUUUCAAUAAAAAGACUACCGACGAAAAGUUGGAGGAAGCAGAGGAUUACGUCAAGUCUUCAUGGCCCUUAUGAACUGGGCUACACAUGUGCUACAAUGGUUUAUACAAAAAGAAGCUUUAUAAAUUAA